ensembl:lncRNA
AUUUCAUUUAGAGAUCUCUGCCUACCUGAGGCCUUCUGAAGGAAGGACCUUCUGCAUGCUGCCCGUGCUCCAGCACGCAAGUGACACAUGGCUCAUGGCUGGCCCCAGCAUCCCAGGGAGAGGAACAUCUGCUUGGCCUCAGGCAGGCCUCUGUCUGGUUUUGGGAGAGACAUCAGCUCUGAAGCUCUGAGCAGACCCCAGAGAGAUGAUGGUGGAAAAACACAGGGUAGGACAGUGGCACCUUGCUCUGAGGUCCCAGAAGAGUGUGAGGAGGCAAGGGGCGGGCAGUACUUGGCCAUCUCCUGCCCCUGUUCUGCUGUUUGCUUGGGCUGGCCAGUAACCAGGCCUGGAGGAGACGGGGAGGACCUAGUGAGCUGUCUGUGGUCCCCUUUUCCAUUUUGAAACAGGAAGUUUGGGGCAAUGUGAUAAGCAAGCAGGACUGGAAUAGUGUUUGGGGAUGUACCCCAAAUGCCAGGGGGUGGCAUCCUCCCAGCCUGGUGGGAGAGCACCUUUCAGGGUGAAGGGGACUCACAAACAGCCCUCCAUCAAUAUUUGUACUGGAAAUAGCUGCCCUUCUGAGGUCUCACUGACUUAGGCCAGAGAGAAUUGAGAGUGAUAGACUGUAGGACUGACAGCCUCCAGCUGCCCACAGUGUUGUGCUGUCUUGUUCCCACAGAGGUGCUGGUGUGGCCCGGGGCGGCCUGGUUCCCCUCAGGCCCUGGCUGCCCAUACGCAGUGCUCCCUGCCAGCUUCCUCUGCCUCCCCUCAGAGCAGGCACGUAGCAAAAAUACGUACGUGCAGUUAGGCUCUUGCCUGCGCCUGGACCUUUCCUUCCAACUCAUUUCCAAGUGCAGUGCUGAAAAACCACAGGUUUUCUCUUCUAGCUGGUCACAGCUAUCACUCCUUGACGUGUCUUUGAAUCCAAGGAACGAAAAUAGUUCUGUGAGAUCUAUUAAGUCUCUGGCUUGUAAAACACAAUAAUUUCUUACUAGGUUACACUAAUAUUUCGUAAUUCAUUCUUAAUAUUAUUCUUCAAUAAAGCUCUGCACAAACAAUCUAUCCCACAGGAGAAACCUCUGCCAGAACCCAGAUGUCAAACACAUUUGCUUCAAAUACAGGAGUUCGUGACCUUUUCUGUUUGUUAAUGUGACGCCAUGGAAAUUGUUUAUAAUAAAUAAGCGUGUUUCAGAGUCAGGUGCCCCACAGGGCCUUUUUCAGAGAUACGACAGCCCUUCCUGAAACGGGUCUUUCCUGUUUUGUUUUUGUCCCCUAACAAUAAGGUUUAGGGAACAAUUUGAAACCCUGUCGCUGAGCCAAGUCCAACUGCUGAGAGGUAGACAGGAAGUCAGAGAUAUCUCAGAUUUCAAAUCUUUCCCGAAAUUGGCUGCCGAUAAGGCUCUUCCUUUUUCUUUUAUCCUUUACCCUAAAAAUUCAAAUUUCAAACAGCAGGCUGUAUAGAUCUAAACAAAUUCUAAAUGUAUCAGCUUAAAUCACCAAAUCAACUAGGAAACUAUUGGAAUUUCUUGGAUUCAAAUAGCAGAUUUGACAUGUGAAGGGUUAUUUACUUAUAACAUGCUCGUUUAAAGCCAAGGCUGUACCGUCUGCCUACAAGCUUCAGGUACAAGUGAUCUACAAGUUAUCUGAAGGUUAAUAUGUUCGUAAUGUAUUUCCACUAUCUUUUUCAGCAGAUGUGACAGUGUUCUCACAAACAUGUGGGACCAGUGCCUGGACUAAGAGCAGCUGGCUCUUAAUGAAGCCAGGGCAAGAAAAGGAUGCAACUGAAAAACAAGAGCCUUGGCUCUGCUCAUCCUAUUGUCAGCUGUACAUUAUGGUUUAUAACGUCUCCUAAGUUUGUUGGGUUCACCAUCUCAGAUUCCUAGACAGUAGCAGCAGCAAGCAAUGUCUCCCAAGGAGGAAGCU